CUAACUACCAUGCUCCCUCAUGGUUCCCAUAAUUCCCAGCAUCUAUACAUCAUAGAGUAGUGGGAAUUAUGGGAACCGCGAGGGAGCAUGGUAGUUA